AUAACCUACGGGAGGCAGCAGUGGGGAAUAUUGCACAAUGGGGGAAACCCUGAUGCAGCAACGCCGCGUGAGUGAAGAAGUCAUUCGUGAUGUAAAGCUCUAUCAGCAGGGAAGAAAAUGACGGUACCUGACUAAGAAGCCCCGGCUAACUACGUGCCAGCAGCCGCGGUAAUACGUAGGGGGCAAGCGUUAUCCGGAUUUACUGGGUGUAAAGGGAGCGUAGACGGCAGCACAAGUCUGGAGUGAAAUCCCGGGGCUUAACCCCGGAACUGCUUUGGAAACUGUGCGGCUGGAGGGCAGGAGGG
rnacentral:rRNA from 1 species